CAGCAGCCACGGUAAUACGUAGGGUGCGAGCGUUAAUCGGAAUUACUGGACGUAAAGCGUGCGCAGGCGGUUUUGUAAGACAGGCGUGAAAUCCCCGGGCUCAACCUGGGAAUGGCGCUUGUGACUGCAAAGCUAGAGUGCGGCAGAGGGGGAUGGAAUUCUGCGUGUAGCAGUGAAAUGCGUAGAUAUGCGGAGGAACACCGAUGGCGAAGGCAAUCCCCUGGGCCUGCACUGACGCUCAUGCACGAAAGCGUGGGGAGCAAACAGGAUUAGAUACCCCCGUAGUCCCUGUCUCUUAUAA
rnacentral:rRNA from 1 species